UACGUAGGGGGGCUAGCGUUGUCCGGAAUCAUUGGGCGUAAAGAGCGUGUAGGCGGUCCGGUAAGUCCGCUGUGAAAGUCGGGGGGCUCAACCCUCGGAUGCCGGUGGAUACUGUCGGGCUUGAGUACGGAAGAGGCGAGUGGAAUUCCUGGUGUAGCGGGUGGAAUGCGCAGAUAGUCAGGAGGAACACCGAUAGCGAAGGCAGCUCGCUGGGACGGUACUGACGCUGAGGCGCGAAAGCGUGGGGAGCGAACAGG
rnacentral:rRNA from 1 species